CGGGAUGUAGCGCAGUCCGGUUAGCGCGCCAGCUUCGGGAGUUGGAGGCCGAGAGUUCGAAUCUCUUCAUCCCGA
rnacentral:tRNA from 1 species